UUUCAAUGCCAUCAAGCCUUGUAUACUACACAUGGUUCCUAAACAUUUAACUAGAGAUUCCAGUACUGGAGUGGCCAUUCUCCCUGAUAUGUGUUGUCAUGAUUUCCCAAUGUGGUUCCUCUGGAAGGAAUCCUAUACUUAUGUUGGAGUCUUUCAUCCACUUUCAUCCAAUGUAGUGAUAUUUUUACUUCUUUUGAUAGAACUAUAAUCUGAACCCAAUUCUGAUCUUCUUGAAUAAAUUGAGUCAGGAA